UUUCCGUAGGUGAACCUGCGGAAGGAUCAUUAUUGUAUAAACGAUGUGCGAGGGCUGUCGCUGACCCGAAAGGUCGUGCACGCCCGAGUGCCCCCACACACACCCAUCUCACCCCUAUUUUUACCACCGCGCCGGUCGCCCUUCUGCUGUGUGGGAGGGGGGCGUAGGUUUUCACGCAAACUUUUUAUGCAUUGAACAUUGUAUUUUUUGUUUUUGCGAAUACGUAAUCAAUUCAACUAUCAACAACGUAUCUCUUGUCUCUCGGAUCGAUGCAGAACA
rnacentral:misc_RNA from 1 species